UUAAUGCCAGAUUUGGCGAUUGCUAAAUAUUAGGAAUUAAACAGUUGUAGUUAAUCAUUGUCUCUUUCUAUAAGUUAAGAAUAUUGAAUAAUGAUUAAUUGGACGAUUGGAGCUGUAGAUAUAUACUAUGUCUACAUUUACUACUGCCAGACCAUGGCUGUAUUCUCUCUCUCAUCAAUAAGUGUACAUCUCUCAACUAUGACCUUCUAAUGCUAAUAAGCACAUAAUGGACAUCUUUUAAGCAUUUGAAUAUAUUAUUUCAAAAUUUGUCUUAAAGUUAGAAAAAAAAAA